rnacentral:rRNA from 1 species
GGAGUCUAGCAUGUGCGCGAGUCAUUGGGACAUAACUAAACCUAAAGGCGUAAUGAAAGUAAAGGUUUUCCUUGUGCUAACCAAGGGAGGAUAGGUUAAGCAUUAUAGCUUAUGCCUCGCACUCCCGGGGCGUCUCAUUCUUAUUACAAGAAGAGGCGCACCAAGAGCGUACACGCUGGGACCCGAAAGAUGGUGAACUAUGCCUGGUCAGGAUGAAGUCAGGGGAAACCCUGAUGGAGGUCCGUAGCGAUUCUGACGUGCAAAUCGAUCGUCGGAACUGGGUAUAGGGGCGAAAGACUAAUCGAACCAUCUAGUAGCUGGUUCCCUCCGAAGUUUCCCUCAGGAUAGCUGGCGCUUAUAGCGUACGAGUUUCAUCCGGUAAAGCGAAUGAUUAGAGGCAUUGGGGUCGAAACGGCCUCAACCUAUUCUCAAACUUUAAAUGGGUGAGAUCUUCGGCUUGCUUAAAUAAAAAAAAAUUUUUUUUUUUUUGUGAAGCCGUAAGAUUAGAAUCAAAGUGCCAAGUGGGCCAUUUUUGGUAAGCAGAACUGGCGCUGUGGGAUGAACCAAACGUCGAGUUAAAGCGCCUAAAUUGACGCUUAUAGGAUACCAUGAAAGGCGUUGGUAACUUAAGACAUCAGGACGGUGGCCAUGGAAGUC